CCUACGAGAGGCAGCAGUGGGGAAUAUUGCACAAUGGGGGAAACCCUGAUGCAGCGACGCCGCGUGAAGGAAGAAGUAUUUCGGUAUGUAAACUUCUAUCAGCAGGGAAGAAAAUGACGGUACCUGACUAAGAAGCCCCGGCUAACUCCGUGCCAGCAGCCGCGGGAAUACGUAGGGGGCAAGCGUUAUCCGGAUUUACUGGGGGUAAAGGGAGCGGAGGCGGUUUAGCAAGUCAGAAGUGAAAGCCCGGGGCUCAACUCCGGGACUGCUUUUGAAACUGUUGAACUAGAGUGCAGGAGAGGUAAGUGGAAUUCCUAGGGGAGCGGUGAAAUGCGUAGAUAUUAGGAGGAACACCAGUGGCGAAGGCGGCUUACUGGACUGUAAAUGACGCUGAGGCUCGAAAGCGUGGGGAGCAAACAGGAUUAGAUACCCUAGUAGUC
rnacentral:rRNA from 1 species